CAAAUGGCCUCCUCACUUCUUUGCCCUGACCCAGUGCCUGGUAGAGCUCUGGUUGACUCUUUUGGCCAAAUUAACGCUCAGAGGGAGCAUUUUAAGGCCUCGGGGCAUCUUAAUCUAGAUAGCAGAAUGGAGCGGGCCGGAAAAAUUCAUCACGACUAACGAGGAGCGCUGCUCUUCCGGGAGUGGCUGAAUUGUUUAUAAAUCACUGCGGCGGAGCACCCGCCCGGGCAAGGAGCCUUGGCUGCGAAUCUCCACGUGUUCUGUGUUUAUGAACAUGUGUGGAGGGGACAGAAACGGCCAGGGGAGGGGCGAGACUGCCCGGAGCCAGCAGAACCGACCUCCACCUGCACGCGCACAGCGGCUCGGCUAUGAUCCGCAGAGCUGAGAGUCCCAUCGCGAACGCACAGCCACUUAGGAGGCGCAUUUAGGGGCUGUUAGAAAUUUAGUAACUUUGCCCGGCCAGGAAACAUUGAAAAGUUCCAUCCUCCUCAGUGCGCAGACUCAGCGUCUGGAGUUCAAACCUCCAAGCCGCGGAAGAACUCAGCUGCUUUGAAAGGACUUAAGGCAGUGUGUGGAGGACGUCUCCCUUCUCCGUCGGUAAAGAGAGGUACAUCCACCCUGGGAUGGGAUUACCCCUCUCCUCCUCCUCCUCUUCUUUCUGCUCUUCUUCUAGCCCCAGCAGCUGCUUGAUGGAGACCUCUUCUCCCCACAUCUGAAUGGACCGUCUUUGCUCAGAGUCUACAGAAUGUCAAAACUGAGGCUCCUCAGAGCUACAGCUUUAAGAACCACUCCACACAAAGAGGCAGCUGGUUGCUUUAACGGAAACUGCCUUUAAGCUUCAAGAACUGAAGCCUUGGGGAAUACAUUUAUAAGGAGCAGAGAAAAAUGCAUUUCCAAGCUGUAUGUUCUUGGGAAAUACAAAAUAAAAUUUACCUGAAAAAAUGAGAAUUAACCUUAAUUAUGUAGCUGUUGAUUAAAGACGCCCCCAUUUAGAAUUUUAUGUUCCAUCUAUAAAUGCAUUUUGCAAAUUGCUGAUUGCUUAUCUGUCCCCAUAUCAAAGGAAAAACAAAACAAAACAAAACAAAAAGGUGAAGCAUUAGAUUUCUGAAAGUUGAAGCACCUUAACUCAUCCACUUGGCAAGUUAAUUUGUUGUUUGCUUGUGUGCACACAAUUUUGUUUAUUUUUUAACUACCAAGUAGUCCAUUGCAAGGCACGUUCAGUGGCAUUUGACAUUGACAUUGUUUGAAUCCAUGGAUAUUCAUUUCUUUUCCCUUCUUCAAGCUACAGAUCUCAUCAUUAAAAUGCCCCACUCUUUGUAGUCCCAAAGUGAAUAUUUUAUAAACAGGUUCGAAGACUUCUAACAUCAUAUCACCCAGGCAGUGUAAGCUGUUUCCUGGAUUACUUAGAGUAAAUUGUCAGAGGAAAGCCUGCUAAAUUUUGAGUGUUGAAUGUGAGGCCAGAAGGACGUAUAGAAUAUAAAGGAGACAUUUCAGGGACAAGCUAGACAGACCCUGUGUGGAGGAGUUAAAAUCUCAGGAACAGAACAUGAAGGGCUUGUGCCUUUUUAGCUCACUUCCUUGAAAUUCCGUUGUUAAAGUACCAAAGGUUAAAUAAAUUUCUAACAAUGAAACCUGAA